rnacentral:rRNA from 1 species
AGUGAACGCUGGCGGCAGGCCUAAUACAUGCAAGUCGAACGGCAGCACAGUGGAGCUUGCUCCAUGGGUGGCGAGUGGCGGACGGGUGAGGAAUACAUGGGAAUCUGCCCAGUCGUGGGGGAUAACGUAGGGAAACUUACGCUAAUACCGCAUGCGCCCUUCGGGGGAAAGCCGGGGACCUUCGGGCCUGGCGCGAUUGGAUGAGCCCAUGUUCGAUUAGCUAGUUGGCGGGGUAAAGGCCCACCAAGGCGACGAUCGAUAGCUGGUCUGAGAGGAUGAUCGGCCACACUGGGACUGAGACACGGCCCAGACUCCUACGGGAGGCAGCAGUAGGGAAUAUUGGACAAUGGGCGCAAGCCUGAUCCAGCCAUGCCGCGUGAGUGAAGAAGGCCCUCGGGUUGUAAAGCUCUUUUGUCCGGGAAGAAAAGCAUCGGGCUAAGACCUCGGUGUUCUGACGGUACCGGAAGAAUAAGCACCGGCUAACUUCGU